rnacentral:rRNA from 1 species
UACGAAGGGGACUAGCGUUGUUCGGAAUCACUGGGCGUAAAGCGCACGUAGGCGGAUUUGUAAGUCAGGGGGUGAAAUCCCCGGAGCUCAACUCCGGAACUGCCUUUGAUACUGGGUAUCUGGAGUAUGGAAGAGGUGAGUGGAAUUCCGAGUGUAGAGGUGAAAUUCGUAGAUAUUCGGAGGAACACCAGUGGCGAAGGCGGCUCACUGGUCCAUUACUGACGCUGAGGUGCGAAAGCGUGGGGAGCAACAGG